rnacentral:tRNA from 1 species
UAGUUCAGUGGUAGAACAUCACCUUGCCAAGGUGGGGGUCGCGGGUUCGAAUCCCGU